rnacentral:rRNA from 1 species
UAGGGAAUCUUCCGCAAUGGACGAAAGUCUGACGGAGCAACGCCGCGUGAGUGAAGAAGGAUUUCGGUUCGUAAAACUCUGUUGUUAGGGAAGAAAAAAUGUAUAGUAACUAUAUACAAAAGAGACGGUACCUAACCAGAAAGCCACGGCUAACUACGUGCCAGCAGCCGCGGUAAUACGUAGGUGGCAAGCGUUGUCCGGAAUUAUUGGGCGUAAAGCGCGCGCAGGUGGUUUAGAAAGUCUGAUGUGAAAGCCCACGGCUCAACCGUGGAGGGUCAUUGGAAACUAAUAAACUUGAGUGCAGGAGAGAAAAGUGGAAUCCCUAGUGUAGCGGUGAAAUGCGUAGAGAUUAGGAGGAACACCGGUGGCGAAAGCGGCUUUUUGGCCUGCAACUGACACUGAGGCGCGAAAGCGUGGGGAGCAAACAGG